GGGUUGUGAGGUUAAGCGACUAAGCGUACACGGUGGAUGCCCUGGCAGUCAGAGGCGAUGAAGGACGUGCUAAUCUGCGAUAAGCGUCGGUAAGGUGAUAUGAACCGUUAUAACCGGCGAUUUCCGAAUGGGGAAACCCAGUGUGUUUCGACACACUAUCAUUAACUGAAUCCAUAGGUUAAUGAGGCGAACCGGGGGAACUGAAACAUCUAAGUACCCCGAGGAAAAGAAAUCAACCGAGAUUCCCCCAGUAGCGGCGAGCGAACGGGGAGCAGCCCAGAGCCUGAAUCAGUAUGUGUGUUAGUGGAAGCGUCUGGAAAGGCGCGCGAUACAGGGUGACAGCCCCGUACACAAAAAUGCACAUGCUGUGAGCUCGAUGAGUAGGGCGGGACACGUGGUAUCCUGUCUGAAUAUGGGGGGACCAUCCUCCAAGGCUAAAUACUCCUGACUGACCGAUAGUGAACCAGUACCGUGAGGGAAAGGCGAAAAGAACCCCGGCGAGGGGAGUGAAAAAGAACCUGAAACCGUGUACGUACAAGCAGUGGGAGCACGCUUAGGCGUGUGACUGCGUACCUUUUGUAUAAUGGGUCAGCGACUUAUAUUCUGUAGCAAGGUUAACCGAAUAGGGGAGCCGAAGGGAAACCGAGUCUUAACUGGGCGUUAAGUUGCAGGGUAUAGACCCGAAACCCGGUGAUCUAGCCAUGGGCAGGUUGAAGGUUGGGUAACACUAACUGGAGGACCGAACCGACUAAUGUUGAAAAAUUAGCGGAUGACUUGUGGCUGGGGGUGAAAGGCCAAUCAAACCGGGAGAUAGCUGGUUCUCCCCGAAAGCUAUUUAGGUAGCGCCUCGUGAAUUCAUCUCCGGGGGUAGAGCACUGUUUCGGCAAGGGGGUCAUCCCGACUUACCAACCCGAUGCAAACUGCGAAUACCGGAGAAUGUUAUCACGGGAGACACACGGCGGGUGCUAACGUCCGUCGUGAAGAGGGAAACAACCCAGACCGCCAGCUAAGGUCCCAAAGUCAUGGUUAAGUGGGAAACGAUGUGGGAAGGCCCAGACAGCCAGGAUGUUGGCUUAGAAGCAGCCAUCAUUUAAAGAAAGCGUAAUAGCUCACUGGUCGAGUCGGCCUGCGCGGAAGAUGUAACGGGGCUAAACCAUGCACCGAAGCUGCGGCAGCGACGCUGAUGCGUUGUUGGGUAGGGGAGCGUUCUGUAAGCCUGUGAAGGUGUGCUGUGAGGCAUGCUGGAGGUAUCAGAAGUGCGAAUGCUGACAUAAGUAACGAUAAAGCGGGUGAAAAGCCCGCUCGCCGGAAGACCAAGGGUUCCUGUCCAACGUUAAUCGGGGCAGGGUGAGUCGACCCCUAAGGCGAGGCCGAAAGGCGUAGUCGAUGGGAAACAGGUUAAUAUUCCUGUACUUGGUGUUACUGCGAAGGGGGGACGGAGAAGGCUAUGUUGGCCGGGCGACGGUUGUCCCGGUUUAAGCGUGUAGGCUGGUUUUCCAGGCAAAUCCGGAAAAUCAAGGCUGAGGCGUGAUGACGAGGCACUACGGUGCUGAAGCAACAAAUGCCCUGCUUCCAGGAAAAGCCUCUAAGCAUCAGGUAACAUCAAAUCGUACCCCAAACCGACACAGGUGGUCAGGUAGAGAAUACCAAGGCGCUUGAGAGAACUCGGGUGAAGGAACUAGGCAAAAUGGUGCCGUAACUUCGGGAGAAGGCACGCUGAUAUGUAGGUGAAGUCCCUCGCGGAUGGAGCUGAAAUCAGUCGAAGAUACCAGCUGGCUGCAACUGUUUAUUAAAAACACAGCACUGUGCAAACACGAAAGUGGACGUAUACGGUGUGACGCCUGCCCGGUGCCGGAAGGUUAAUUGAUGGGGUUAGCGCAAGCGAAGCUCUUGAUCGAAGCCCCGGUAAACGGCGGCCGUAACUAUAACGGUCCUAAGGUAGCGAAAUUCCUUGUCGGGUAAGUUCCGACCUGCACGAAUGGCGUAAUGAUGGCCAGGCUGUCUCCACCCGAGACUCAGUGAAAUUGAACUCGCUGUGAAGAUGCAGUGUACCCGCGGCAAGACGGAAAGACCCCGUGAACCUUUACUAUAGCUUGACACUGAACAUUGAGCCUUGAUGUGUAGGAUAGGUGGGAGGCUUUGAAGUGUGGACGCCAGUCUGCAUGGAGCCGACCUUGAAAUACCACCCUUUAAUGUUUGAUGUUCUAACGUUGACCCGUAAUCCGGGUUGCGGACAGUGUCUGGUGGGUAGUUUGACUGGGGCGGUCUCCUCCUAAAGAGUAACGGAGGAGCACGAAGGUUGGCUAAUCCUGGUCGGACAUCAGGAGGUUAGUGCAAUGGCAUAAGCCAGCUUGACUGCGAGCGUGACGGCGCGAGCAGGUGCGAAAGCAGGUCAUAGUGAUCCGGUGGUUCUGAAUGGAAGGGCCAUCGCUCAACGGAUAAAAGGUACUCCGGGGAUAACAGGCUGAUACCGCCCAAGAGUUCAUAUCGACGGCGGUGUUUGGCACCUCGAUGUCGGCUCAUCACAUCCUGGGGCUGAAGUAGGUCCCAAGGGUAUGGCUGUUCGCCAUUUAAAGUGGUACGCGAGCUGGGUUUAGAACGUCGUGAGACAGUUCGGUCCCUAUCUGCCGUGGGCGCUGGAGAACUGAGGGGGGCUGCUCCUAGUACGAGAGGACCGGAGUGGACGCAUCACUGGUGUUCGGGUUGUCAUGCCAAUGGCACUGCCCGGUAGCUAAAUGCGGAAGAGAUAAGUGCUGAAAGCAUCUAAGCACGAAACUUGCCCCGAGAUGAGUUCUCCCUGACUCCUUGAGAGUCCUGAAGGAACGUUGAAGAC
rnacentral:rRNA from 1 species